ACACCAGUAUCUGCAGACAUGGUUAUUAAAGCUCCUGCAGCCUCCAGAUCUCUUACCUUAAAGAAACAGCAGUGAGAAUGUGCCAGGCCGUUUGGGAAAUGUCACUGGCCAGAUGAAACCAGGCUGUUGUCCCAAUUCAAGAAGAGCACAGAGUGCAUCUAGAGGAUGUUUCAGUGUCUGCAGAGGGAGAGAGGUCCUAGCAGGGAGAGCCAGCCUAACCCAAGUAUCCCAACAGCUCCCAACUUCUGGAUUCAUAGGACAGGCUACAUAAGGACCAGACUCCGUGAGAAGAGAGAACUUUGGAGACACCUGAUACUGCCUCAGCAUCUGCUACCUUGGCACAGUGUGUGCUGGAACACAAUGAUCCCCUCCCCUGACAGGGCACA